rnacentral:rRNA from 1 species
ACGCUGGCGGCAGGCCUAACACAUGCAAGUCGAACGGUAGCACAGAGAGCUUGCUCUCGGGUGACGAGUGGCGGGCGGGUGAGUAAUGUCUGGGAAACUGCCUGAUGGAGGGGGAUAACUACUGGAAACGGUAGCUAAUACCGCAUAACGUCGCAAGACCAAAGAGGGGGACCUUCGGGCCUCUUGCCAUCAGAUGUGCCCAGAUGGGAUUAGCUAGUAGGUGGGGUAACGGCUCACCUAGGCGACGAUCCCUAGCUGGUCUGAGAGGAUGACCAGCCACACUGGAACUGAGACACGGUCCAGACUCCUACGGGAGGCAGCAGUGGGGAAUAUUGCACAAUGGGCGCAAGCCUGAUGCAGCCAUGCCGCGUGUAUGAAGAAGGCCUUCGGGUUGUAAAGUACUUUCAGCGGGGAGGAAGGUGUUGUGGUUAAUAACCGCAGCAAUUGACGUUACCCGCAGAAGAAGCACCGGCUAACUCCGUGCCAGCAGCCGCGGUAAUACGGAGGGUGCAAGCGUUAAUCGGAAUUACUGGGCGUAAAGCGCACGCAGGCGGUCUGUCAAGUCGGAUGUGAAAUCCCCGGGCUCAACCUGGGAACUGCAUUCGAAACUGGCAGGCUAGAGUCUUGUAGAGGGGGGUAGAAUUCCAGGUGUAGCGGUGAAAUGCGUAGAGAUCUGGAGGAAUACCGGUGGCGAAGGCGG